GUUUUGUUUCAUGUUGGAGUCUCCCUAUGGACCAGACUUUUUUUCUAAGGAGUCUUCUUCCAGGCUUAUUUUUUAAAUCUAAUUAUACAGUAUAUGAACACUGUAUAUGGUUAUUUUACAGUUAUUUUUAUAAAUGAUUUACAGAAAAUCCCUAUGAUCAAGACCAACAAUGUGCUUUCCCUUCUCUCCAGACCUGUUCCAGGUACUGCCAAAAAGAUAAGGAUCAUAGUGGAUGUUUUCUUCACAAUAUCCAGCCCACCUCCCCCACUUAUGCAGCAGCAAACAUACGUUGGAGUUCCCGCUCCUGGUGAAAAGAGAUUCUGACUAACCUGCGCUUAAAAUCUUUACUUCCUCUGUACUUUUCAGUUACAUGAGUCAAUAAAUUUCCUUUAUUAAGUCAGUUUGAAUGGGAUUUUUUAAUAAAACUGAUUAUGGGAUCCUACUUACCUUAUUCACAUUAAUUUUUAACAGCUUUAUUGAUAUAGAAUUUUUUAAGAUACAAUUUAUGUACAUAUGAUCCGUCCAUUUAACGUGUAUACACAGAUGGAUGGUUUUUAGUAUAACCACAAAGUUGUGUGACCAUGACCAGAAUGAAUAUUAGAAUACUUUCAUCACUUUUAACAGAAACCCUGUACGCAGUACCAGCCACUCUCCAUUUCUACCUGUGGUGGACUUCUGACUUCCACAGCUACAAGAUAAUAAAUGGCAGUGACAGAAAGUGAAUAAGCAAAUUAGAAAGAAUGACAUUUACAAUUCUUCUCUAGAGAAAUGUCUAUUCAAGUCUUUGCUCAUUUUUCAACUGGAUUAUUUAUCUUUUUAUUGCUGAGUUAUAAGAGUUCCUGGCUUCCCUGGUGGCUCAGAUGGUAAAGAAUCUUCCUGCAACGUGGGAGACCUAGGUUCAAUCCCUGGGUCAGGAAGAUACUCUGGUGAAGGAAAUGGCAACCCACUCCAGUGGUCUUGCUGGGAAAUCCCAUGGACAGUGGUGCCUGGUGGGCUACAUUCCAUGGGGUUGCAAAGAGUCAGACACGACUGAGCGACUAACAUUUUAUAAGAGUUCUUUAUAUAUUCUGGGUACAAGUCCCUUAUCAAAUAAAUAAUUUGUAAAUAUUUCCUCACAUUCUGUAAGUUGUCUUUUCACAUUCUUGGUCAUGUUCUCUGAUCCGCAAAAUAUUUAAUUUUGAUAAAAUCCAAUGUAUCUAUUUUUCUUUUAUUGUCUGUGCUUUUGGUGUCAUAUUUAAGAAGAUUUUGUCUAACCUAAAGUCAUGAAGAUUUACUUCUAUGUUUUCUCUUAAGAUUUUAUAGUUUUAGCUCUUACAUUUAGAUCUAUGAUCCAGUUAAAUUUUAUGUGUGGUGUAAAAAAGGGGUCCAACUUUAUUCUUUUGCAUGUGGAUAUCCAGUUAUCCCAGCAUUGUUCAUUGAAAAGACUAUUCUUUCCCCCACUGAGUUGUCUUACCACCUUGUUGAAAACUGAUUGGCCAUAAUAGGAAGAGUCUAUUUCUGGAUUCUCAAAUCUGUUCACCUUAUAUGGUUCUCCUUAUAUCAGUAUUACCCAGUCUUUUAAACUUUUUUUAACUUAAUUAAUU
ensembl:lncRNA